rnacentral:rRNA from 1 species
GAUGAACGCUGGCGGCGUGCCUAAUACAUGCAAGUCGAGCGAACAGACGAGGAGCUUGCUCCUCUGACGUUAGCGGCGGACGGGUGAGUAACACGUGGAUAACCUACCUAUAAGACUGGGAUAACUUCGGGAAACCGGAGCUAAUACCGGAUAAUAUAUUGAACCGCAUGGUUCAAUAGUGAAAGACGGUUUUGCUGUCACUUAUAGAUGGAUCCGCGCCGCAUUAGCUAGUUGGUAAGGUAACGGCUUACCAAGGCAACGAUGCGUAGCCGACCUGAGAGGGUGAUCGGCCACACGGGAACUGAGACACGGUCCAGACUCCUCCGGGAGGAAGCAGUAGGGAAUCUUCCGCAAAGGGCGAAAGCCUGACGGAGCAACGCCGCGUGAGUGAUGAAGGUCUUCGGAUCGUAAAACUCUGUUAUUAGGGAAGAACAAAUGUGUAAGUAACUAUGCACGUCUUGACGGUACCUAAUCAGAAAGCCACGGCUAACUACGUG